rnacentral:tRNA from 1 species
GGCCGGCCUGGCCAAGGGCGUGGACGACGUGGUGUACGUCAAGAUCGGUACGGGGAUCGGCGCCGGUCUGAUCUCCGGCGGCCGGCUGC